rnacentral:rRNA from 1 species
GUCUUUAUGUAAAAAUAUAAAGUCUGGCCUGCCCACUGAAGUUUUAAAGGGCCGCGGUAAUUUGACCGUGCGAAGGUAGCAUAAUCAAUAGUCUUUUAAUUGAAGGCUGGAAUGAAUGGUCGGACAUGAAGUAUUCUGUCUUAUUUGUAAGGAUUGAAUUUAACUUUUAAGUGAAAAGGCUUAGUAGAUUUAGGGGGACGAUAAGACCCUAUAAAACUUUACAUUAAUAUAUUAGUUUUUGAAUUUUAAGUUUAAAGUGUAUUAGGUUAUAGUUAUGUUAUGUUGGGGCGACAAAGAUAUAAUAGUAACUGUUUAUUAGUUAAAAUAGAUAUAUUUAGAGAAUUUGAUCCUUUAGUGGGGUUUAUAAGAAUAAGUUACUUUAGGGAUAACAGCGUUAUUUUUUCUGAGAGUUCUUAUCGACGAAAGUAGUUGCGACCUCGAUGUUGAAUUAAAGUUUCGGCGGGGCGCAGAAGUCUCGUGAGUGGGUCUGUUCGACCUUUAAAACUUU